GGGACACGUGGUAUCCUGUCUGAAUAUGGGGGGACCAUCCUCCAAGGCUAAAUACUCCUGACUGACCGAUAGUGAACCAGUACCGUGAGGGAAAGGCGAAAAGAACCCCGGCGAGGGGAGUGAAAAAGAACCUGAAACCGUGUACGUACAAGCAGUGGGAGCACCUUUAUGGUGUGACUGCGUACCUUUUGUAUAAUGGGUCAGCGACUUAUAUUCUGUAGCAAGGUUAACCGUAUAGGGGAGCCGCAGGGAAACCGAGUCUUAACUGGGCGUUAAGUUGCAGGGUAUAGACCCGAAACCCGGUGAUCUAGCCAUGGGCAGGUUGAAGGUUGGGUAACACUAACUGGAGGACCGAACCGACUAAUGUUGAAAAAUUAGCGGAUGACUUGUGGCUGGGGGUGAAAGGCCAAUCAAACCGGGAGAUAGCUGGUUCUCCCCGAAAGCUAUUUAGGUAGCGCCUCGUGAACUCAUCUUCGGGGGUAGAGCACUGUUUCGGCUAGGGGGUCAUCCCGACUUACCAACCCGAUGCAAACUACGAAUACCGAAGAAUGUUAUCACGGGAGACACACGGCGGGUGCUAACGUCCGUCGUGAAGAGGGAAACAACCCAGACCGCCAGCUAAGGUCCCAAAGUCAUGGUUAAGUGGGAAACGAUGUGGGAAGGCACAGACAGCCAGGAUGUUGGCUUAGAAGCAGCCAUCAUUUAAAGAAAGCGUAAUAGCUCACUGGUCGAGUCGGCCUGCGCGGAAGAUGUAACGGGGCUAAACCAUG
rnacentral:rRNA from 1 species